AUUGAACGCUGGCGGCAAGCUUAACACAUGCAAGUCGAGCGGGGGAGGUUGCUUCGGUAACUGACCUAGCGGCGGACGGGUGAGUAAUGCUUAGGAAUCUGCCUAUUAGUGGGGGACAACAUUCCGAAAGGAAUGCUAAUACCGCAUACGCCCUACGGGGGAAAGCAGGGGAUCUUCGGACCUUGCGCUAAUAGAUGAGCCUAAGUCGGAUUAGCUAGUUGGUGGGGUAAAGGCCUACCAAGGCGACGAUCUGUAGCGGGUCUGAGAGGAUGAUCUGCCACACUGGGACUGAAACACGGCCCAGACUCCUACGGGAGGCAGCAGUGGGGAAUAUUGGACAAUGGGCGGAAGCCUGAUCCAGCCAUGCCGCGUGUGUGAAGAAGGCCUUUUGGUUGUAAAGCACUUUAAGCGAGGAGGAGGCUCUUAAGGUUAAUACCCUUGAUGAGUGGACGUUACUCGCAGAAUAAGCACCGGCUAACUCUGUGCCAGCCGCCGCAGUAAAAC
rnacentral:rRNA from 1 species